rnacentral:rRNA from 1 species
GAUGAACGCUAGCGGGAGGCCUCCUUCAUGCAAGCCGAGCGGUAUUGUUUCUUCGGAGAUGAGAGAGCGGCGUACGGGUGCGGAACACGUGUGCAACCUACCUUUAUCUGGAGGAUAGCCUUUCAAAAGGAAAAUUAAUACUCCAUAAUAUAUUGAAUGGCAUCAUUUGGUAUUGAAAGCUCCGGCGGAUAGAGAUGGGCACGCGCAAGAUUAGCUAGUUGGUGAGGUAACGGCUCACCAAGGCGAUGAUCUUUAGGGGGCCUGAGAGGGUGAUCCCCCACACUGGUACUGAAACACGGACCAAACUCCUACGGGAGGCAGCAGUGAGGAAUAUUGGACAAGGGGGGAAACCCUGAUCCAGCAACGCCGCGUGAGUGAUGAAGGCCUUCGGGUCGUAAAGCUCUGUCGUAAGGAAAAAAACAAAUGAUGGUACCUUACAAGAAAGGACCGGCCAACUUCGUG